rnacentral:rRNA from 2 species
GGGUUGUGAGGUUAAGCGACUAAGCGUACACGGUGGAUGCCCUGGCAGUCAGAGGCGAUGAAGGACGUGCUAAUCUGCGAAAAGCGCCGGCGAGGUGAUAUGAACCUUUGACCCGGCGAUGUCCGAAUGGGGAAACCCAGUGUGAUUCGUCACACUAUCGUUAACUGAAUACAUAGGUUAACGAGGCGAACCGGGGGAACUGAAACAUCUAAGUACCCCGAGGAAAAGAAAUCAACCGAGAUUCCCCCAGUAGCGGCGAGCGAACGGGGAGCAGCCCAGAGUCUGAAUCAGCUUGUGUGUUAGUGGAAGCGUCUGGAAAGUCGCACGGUACAGGGUGACAGUCCCGUACACGAAAGCACACAGGUUGUGAACUCGAAGAGUAGGGCGGGACACGUGGUAUCCUGUCUGAAUAUGGGGGGACCAUCCUCCAAGGCUAAAUACUCCUGACUGACCGAUAGUGAACCAGUACCGUGAGGGAAAGGCGAAAAGAACCCCGGCGAGGGGAGUGAAACAGAACCUGAAACCGUGUACGUACAAGCAGUGGGAGCACCUUCGUGGUGUGACUGCGUACCUUUUGUAUAAUGGGUCAGCGACUUAUAUUCUGUAGCAAGGUUAACCGUAUAGGGGAGCCGAAGGGAAACCGAGUCUUAACUGGGCGUUAAGUUGCAGGGUAUAGACCCGAAACCCGGUGAUCUAGCCAUGGGCAGGUUGAAGGUUGGGUAACACUAACUGGAGGACCGAACCGACUAAUGUUGAAAAAUUAGCGGAUGACUUGUGGCUGGGGGUGAAAGGCCAAUCAAACCGGGAGAUAGCUGGUUCUCCCCGAAAGCUAUUUAGGUAGCGCCUCGUGAACUCAUCUUCGGGGGUAGAGCACUGUUUCGGCUAGGGGGCCAUCCCGGCUUACCAACCCGAUGCAAACUACGAAUACCGAAGAAUGUUAUCACGGGAGACACACGGCGGGUGCUAACGUCCGUCGUGAAGAGGGAAACAACCCAGACCGCCAGCUAAGGUCCCAAAGUCAUGGUUAAGUGGGAAACGAUGUGGGAAGGCACAGACAGCCAGGAUGUUGGCUUAGAAGCAGCCAUCAUUUAAAGAAAGCGUAAUAGCUCACUGGUCGAGUCGGCCUGCGCGGAAGAUGUAACGGGGCUAAACCAUGCACCGAAGCUGCGGCAGCGACACUAUGUGUUGUUGGGUAGGGGAGCGUUCUGUAAGCCGUUGAAGGUGUGCUGUGAGGCAUGCUGGAGGUAUCAGAAGUGCGAAUGCUGACAUAAGUAACGAUAAAGCGGGUGAAAAGCCCGCUCGCCGGAAGACCAAGGGUUCCUGUCCAACGUUAAUCGGGGCAGGGUGAGUCGACCCCUAAGGCGAGGCCGAAAGGCGUAGUCGAUGGGAAACAGGUUAAUAUUCCUGUACUUGGUGUUACUGCGAAGGGGGGACGGAGAAGGCUAUGUUAGCCGGGCGACGGUUGUCCCGGUUUAAGCAUGUAGGCGGAGGUUCCAGGUAAAUCCGGUACCUUAUUAACGCUGAGGUGUGAUGACGAGGCACUACGGUGCUGAAGUAACAAAUGCCCUGCUUCCAGGAAAAGCCUCUAAGCAUCAGGUAACAUCAAAUCGUACCCCAAACCGACACAGGUGGUCAGGUAGAGAAUACCAAGGCGCUUGAGAGAACUCGGGUGAAGGAACUAGGCAAAAUGGUGCCGUAACUUCGGGAGAAGGCACGCUGAUAUGUAGGUGAAGCCCCUGCGGGUGGAGCUGAAAUCAGUCGAAGAUACCAGCUGGCUGCAACUGUUUAUUAAAAACACAGCACUGUGCAAACACGAAAGUGGACGUAUACGGUGUGACGCCUGCCCGGUGCCGGAAGGUUAAUUGAUGGGGUUAGCGGUAACGCGAAGCUCUUGAUCGAAGCCCCGGUAAACGGCGGCCGUAACUAUAACGGUCCUAAGGUAGCGAAAUUCCUUGUCGGGUAAGUUCCGACCUGCACGAAUGGCGUAAUGAUGGCCAGGCUGUCUCCACCCGAGACUCAGUGAAAUUGAACUCGCUGUGAAGAUGCAGUGUACCCGCGGCAAGACGGAAAGACCCCGUGAACCUUUACUAUAGCUUGACACUGAACACUGGUCCUUGAUGUGUAGGAUAGGUGGGAGGCUUUGAAGUGUGGACGCCAGUCUGCAUGGAGCCGUCCUUGAAAUACCACCCUUUAAUGGCUGGUGUUCUAACGUAGACCCGUGAUCCGGGUUGCGGACAGUGUCUGGUGGGUAGUUUGACUGGGGCGGUCUCCUCCCAAAGAGUAACGGAGGAGCACGAAGGUUAGCUAAUCCUGGUCGGACAUCAGGAGGUUAGUGCAAUGGCAUAAGCUAGCUUGACUGCGAGAGUGACGGCUCGAGCAGGUGCGAAAGCAGGUCAUAGUGAUCCGGUGGUUCUGAAUGGAAGGGCCAUCGCUCAACGGAUAAAAGGUACUCCGGGGAUAACAGGCUGAUACCGCCCAAGAGUUCAUAUCGACGGCGGUGUUUGGCACCUCGAUGUCGGCUCAUCACAUCCUGGGGCUGAAGUAGGUCCCAAGGGUAUGGCUGUUCGCCAUUUAAAGUGGUACGCGAGCUGGGUUUAGAACGUCGUGAGACAGUUCGGUCCCUAUCUGCCGUGGGCGCUGGAGAAUUGAGGGGGGCUGCUCCUAGUACGAGAGGACCGGAGUGGACGCAUCACUGGUGUUCGGGUUGUCAUGCCAAUGGCACUGCCCGGUAGCUAAAUGCGGAAAAGAUAAGUGCUGAAAGCAUCUAAGCACGAAACUUGCCCCGAGAUGAGUUCUCCCUGAGACUUUAAGUCUCCUGAAGGAACGUUGAAGACGACGACGUUGAUAGGUCGGGUGUGUAAGCGCAGCGAUGCGUUGAGCUAACCGAUACUAAUGAACCGUGAGGCUUAACCUUACAACGCCGAAGGUGUUU